GCCGUCGUGGAUCAAGGCAGUUCGCCCUCUUUCUGUGAGCGAGUGGCUCUCAAAAUUUGUCAGAGGGAGGUGGCAGUUCGAAUCUGCCCGACGGCA